rnacentral:rRNA from 1 species
CCUACGGGGUGCUGCAGUGGGGAAUAUUGGACAAUGGGCGAAAGCCUGAUCCAGCCAUGCCGCGUGUGUGAAGAAGGCCUUCGGGUUGUAAAGCACUUUCAGUGGGGAAGAAAGCCUUGGGGCUAAUACCCUCGAGGAAGGACAUCACCCACAGAAGAAGCACCGGCUAACUCCGUGCCAGCAGCCGCGGUAAUACGGAGGGUGCGAGCGUUAAUCGGAAUUACUGGGCGUAAAGCGCGCGUAGGCGGUCUGAUAAGCCGGUUGUGAAAGCCCCGGGCUCAACCUGGGAACGGCAUCCGGAACUGUCAGGCUAGAGUGCAGGAGAGGAAGGUAGAAUUCCCGGUGUAGCGGUGAAAUGCGUAGAGAUCGGGAGGAAUACCAGUGGCGAAGGCGGCCUUCUGGACUGACACUGACGCUGAGGUGCGAAAGCGUGGGUAGCAAACAGGAUUAGAUACCUGGUAGUC